rnacentral:rRNA from 1 species
CUCGAGGCCAGAUCUUUCCGGUUGAUCCCGCCGGACCUGACUGCUAUCGGAUUGAUACUAAGCCAUGCGAGUCAUUGUAGCAAUACAAGGCAGACGGCUCAGUAACACGUAGUCAAUCUACCCUAUGGACGGGGAUAACCUCGGGAAACUGAGAAUAAUACCCGAUAGAUCAUUAUGCCUGGAAUGGUUUAUGGUCCAAAUGAUUUAUCGCCAUAGGAUGGGACUGCGGUCUAUCAGCUUGUUGGUGAGGUAAUGGCCCACCAAGGCUAUAACAGAUACGGGCUCUGAGAGGAGAAGCCCGGAGAUGGGUACUGAGACACGGACCCAGGCCCUAUGGGGCGCAGCAGGCGAGAAAACUUUGCAAUGUGCGAAAGCACGACAAGGUUAAUCCGAGUGGUUCCUGCUAAAGGAAUCUUUUGUCAGUCCUAAAAACACUGACGAAUAAGGGGUGGGCAAGUUCUGGUGUCAGCCGCCGCGGUAAAACCAGCACCUCAAGUGGUCAGGAGGAUUAUUGGGCCUAAAGCAUCCGUAGCCGGCCGUGUAAGUUUUCGGUUAAA